rnacentral:rRNA from 1 species
GGAUUCCCCUAGUAACUGCGAGUGAAGCGGGAAAAGCUCAAAUUUAAAAUCUGGUAGUCUUUGGCUGCCCGAGUUGUAAUUUAGAGAAGCGUUACCCGCGCUGGACCGUGUAUAAGUCUCCUGGAAGGGAGCAUCAUAGAGGGUGAUAAUCCCGUCUUUGACACGGACUCCCAGGGCUUUGUGGUAUGCUCUCAAAGAGUCGAGUUGUUUGGGAAUGCAGCUCAAAAUGGGUGGUAAAUUCCAUCUAAAGCUAAAUAUUGGCGAGAGACCGAUAGCGAACAAGUACCGUGAGGGAAAGAUGAAAAGAACUUUGGAAAGAGAGUUAAACAGUACGUGAAAUUGCUGAAAGGGAAACGCUUGAAGUCAGUCGCGUCGGCUGGAAAUCAACCUUGCUCCUGCUUGGUGUACUUUCCUGUCGACGGGUCAACAUCAGUUUUGACCGCUGGACAAAGGGCAAGGGAAUGUGGCUCCCCCGGGAGUGUUAUAGCCCUUGCUCAUAUACAGCGGUUGGGACUGAGGAACUCAGCACGCCGCAAGGCAGGGCUUCGGCCACUUUCGUGCUUAGGAUGUUGGCAUAAUGGCUUUAAGCGACCCGUCUUGAAACACGGACCAAGGAGUCUAACAUGCCUGCGAGUAUUUGGGUGGUAAACUCGGAUGCGCAAUGAAAGUG